GCUGAUUAAAUAUCUUUCACAUUCAACUUGAGUAUUGAGAUGAAAAGUUAUGUCUAAAAAGAUAAGGUAUUCUAAUAAGACGAGUUCAUGUCGAGGGAUUUACAUUUCAUGUAAGGGAGUUAUAUAUAGUCUUGAUAAUAAGGAAAAUCGUUAAAUUAAUAUAUAUAGAAGUAGCUCCUCCAUUGUAUCGCAUUUUAUCAUAGAUUGUAAAAUAAUUCCACAUUGUAAAAAUGUCAUCUAUCAAAAUUCAAACAGGGUUUCUGAUUGGUAUUGUCCUAUGCUUUCUUUCUGUCUCUAGGAGAACGAGAAUGGAAUGCUAUUGGAUGUAAGACACCUG